UACGUAGGGGGCAAGCGUUGUCCGGAUUUAUUGGGCGUAAAGAGCGUGUAGGCGGCUGGGUAGGUCCGUUGUGAAAACUCGAGGCUCAACCUCGAGACGCCGGUGGAAACCCCCCAGCUAGAGUCCGGAAGAGGAGAGUGGAAUUCCUGGUGUAGCGGUGAAAUGCGCAGAUAUCAGGAAGAACACCCGUGGCUAAGGCGGCUCUCUAGUACGGUACUGACGCUGAGACGCGAAAGCGUGGGGAGCGAACAGG
rnacentral:rRNA from 1 species